ACAGAAUUCAAUGGCGGACCAUUUUGGACAUCGUUUUUUGCUGAAAAUCUACCUUUUUUAGAAAGAUAUCUGACACAACUGCACCUCCAGAUGAACCAGCAACAUAUCCUGCGUACCUAGGAAAAACACAUCUGCAAGAUGACAUUACAAUUACAUCUCUGAAGGACACCUUUGGCACCCAGAGUCAACUACUUAGUACGAUGAGUGUCAUUAUUGAGGUAGCACCUAAAUCACCAGUGUCAUGUCUUCACUAAGACCUGAAUCCAAAGUAGAGUCAAUUUGAUUGGAUGAUGGCUGAGUGUGAUGGCUGGAACCAAGAAAAACACAUCUGCAAGAUGACAUUACCAGUACAUCUCUGAAGGACACCUUUUACGUCCGAAGUAAACCACUUAGUACGAUGAGUGUAAUUAUUGAGGUAGCGCCUUAAUCAUCAGUGUCAUGUUCUCACUAUGACCUGAAUCCGAAGCAGAGUCAACUAUAUUGGACGGAUGGCUGAUUGGGAUGACUGGAUCGCAAGAAAAACACAUCUGCAAGAUGACAUUACAAUUACAUCUCUGAAGGACACCUUUGGCACCCAGAGUCAACUACUUAGUACGAUGAGUGUCAUUAUUGAGGUAGCACCUUAAUCAUCGUGUCAUGAAUCCAAAGCAGAGUCAGUUUGAUUGGAUGAUGGCUGAUUGUGAUGGCUGGAACCAAGAAAAACACAUCUGCAAGAUGACAUUACAAUUACAUCUCUGAAGGACACCUUUGGCACCCAGAGUCAACUACUUAGUACGAUGAGUGUCAUUAUUGAGGUAGCACCUUAAUCAUCGUGUCAUGAAUCCAAAGCAGAGUCAGUUUGAUUGGAUGAUGGCUGAUUGUGAUGGCUGGAACCAAGAAAAACACAUCUGCAAGAUGACAUUACAAUUACAUCUCUGAAGGACACCUUUUACACCCGAAGUCAACCACUUUGUACGAUGAGUGUCAUUAUUGAGGUAGCGCCUUAAUCAUCAGUGUCAUGUUCUCACUAUGA